UGGGGGAUAUUGCACAAUGGGCGAAAGCCUGAUGCAGCGACGCCGCGUGGGGGAUGAAGGCCUUCGGGUUGUAAACUUCUUUUGCUCUGAACAAGGCACGCUAAUGGGUGUGUUGAGUGUAGGGGUUGAUUAGCGCCGGUUAACUACGUGCCAGCAGAUGCGGUAAUACGUAGGGCGCGAGCGUUUUCCGGAAUUAUUGGGCGUAAAGGGCUUGUAGGUGGCUGGCUGCGUCUGUCGUGAAAGUCCAUGGCUUAACUGUGGAUUUGCAGUGGUGACGGGCUGGCUUGAGUACGGUAGUGGAGGCUGGAAUUCCUGGUGUAGCGGUGAAAUGCGCAGAUAUCAGGAGGAAUACCGAUGGCGAAGGCAGCUCUCUGGGCUGUUACUGACACUGAGGAGCGAAAGCGUGGGGAGCGAACAGG
rnacentral:rRNA from 1 species